UACCCAAUCAAAUCCUAAACUCUUAAAGUG
rnacentral:piRNA from 1 species